CCACCCCCACCCCCAAGUCGCCGGAGCUUUCGAUGGCCAUCCGUCGCGGAAAUCGCUAUAGUGCGAUGAGCGCUGCGAAGACCAGGAUUGGAGGUUUGAAUUCGAGCAAUACGGAGGAAGACCGCAAUCGAUCUAUCCAUCUCGCCGGGCGAUCGCUCGAUCGCGCCAUUCGAUCGCGCAUGAUUGUUUUGCUUACAUAUGGAAAGGCAUAUAUUAUGGUGGCCAGGAUAUUAAUGCUACGGUUACAGCUUUCAAAGCUAAGAAGAGUAGCCUAUGGUGGAUAUGUACACAAAGCACAUGGAUCUGCUGUCCAUAAGAAGGGAAAACAGUGAAUCAUUUCCAUGGAGACACAAAAGUUAUGUGCUUGUAAUUUUAGAUGAAGUCAUGAGAAGAUCACAUACUUCACUAAUUUUGUUCUUGGAAAAGUUGUUUGAGGUUUUCAGUUAGUGAUUACUUCUAUUUAUUUCUACAGCAUAUAGAAUUGGGUUGAAGAUCUCUGCUGGAAACAGCUUGACAUAAACCACCCCAACAUGCCUGGUGCCAUGGUUUAUCGUGGAUUUAUUAUGCUUAUCACAAUAUGAUAAUGUGACGUGGUACUUUGGAUGCUGUUAAGUGAGCCAAGGAUUUAUAUGGAGACGUCAACAUCAUGGUGACAAGGCAUUCUAUGGGAGGGGCUAUGCCAUCCUUUUGGGGACUUGAUCUUGUGCAUGCUGAAUUAGGUUGAAGAUCUCUACUGGAAUUGCUCGACAUAAACUACCCUGACAUGCUUGGUGCUAUGGUCAAUCAUGAAGCAUGGAAUGUUCAGGUUUUAACAUUUGGACAACCUCGUAUUGGCAAUGCAGUGUUUUUGUCUUACUACAGUGACCGUGUGCCAAUAACAUUUCUAAUUACUACUGGACUUGUUGUUGUGCCUCAUUUGCCUCCGUACUAUUCUCGGUUCCCACAGGAGACAUGCCAUCACUUCCCUAGAUAGGUAUGGCUGUAUAAUAUAGGAUUUGGUAGUCUGGUUUACCAGUUUGAGAAGGAUUGGGAUACAUCUGGAGAAUAUUCAUCAUGCAGCAAGUAAGGAGCUAGUUUCAGUCGUAGCUACUUGUUCAAGCAAUUAUUUUCGUGGAUUUAUCAUGCUACAUGCAAUAAGUGGUGUGAUAGACUAGCUUGUUCUGGAGAAUGUCCAUUUGUACCAGGAAUAUUGUGGACAACUGAUGAUGGUGUGUUUCUUCAGAUUGGUAAAUGGGACAACAUUGUAGACCAUUUAGUCUUACUAUAGUGGGGAAUUAAUGGCUGAGACAUGGGGAUCAUGCAAAAUCGUUGUGGAUGCACUAUUGACGGAAUAUGGAGGUGAAGAUGUCAAAGGAAAUCUUAUGCUUUCUAGGAAUCCUUCUCCUUCUGCAUUGAGGCUGCAGACUCCAAUGCCAAGAGCAACUUCAGUUGAAAUUCUCCUGGGUCAGCACCUGGUUUGUCAUAAAUCAUCAGGGACCUCUGUGAUGAAGUUUGGUCACAAAAUACAUUCCAUCGAUCCUUUGUCCAUAUCCAUAAGAUCCAUAGGAGCUCAAAUUCAAUCUAAAUGUAAAUAGCACAAAGUUGAAUUCCUUGUAAAUACAACUCCAGGAUUUCAAUUCAAUGAAUGUGUUUGCAUGUUUGUCUGUCGAUCUAAUCUUGGGCCUGUGGCUGUUUACCAGA